GGACUACCGCCACCGCGGUCCCUCCCUACCUACUCCCUUGGGAGGAACCGAGCCCCCCCGCAGCCAGCGCCUCCUCAAUACCAGACUGUAGUCCCACAUUGAAGAUAUCCAACCCUAUGAGUGAGAGGUGUACCCCAUCCUUAUGCAUCAGGUUGGAAUUGUCCCCUUCAAGUUCUCUGUGCCUAACGACAAACCCGCCGAGGCAGCGGAAAACUUACCAAUAGCCACAUUUAACUUGCGCCUACUACGCUCCACGCCCUUUGCAUGAUUUAAGCGCACACCAACACGGCCUGGACACUAUGUCUGACCAAAUAAGGGUGAAAUUGGGGAAGAGGGCCAUACAACGCGCCAAAUCAUGCCUAAUGGCAUGCAGGAGGUCCACUGACCUGCUGCGCCCUAGGUCAUUACCCCCCGCAUGAAUAACCAGAGUCACUGGCCCCGACACGUACCGAUGCAGGGAUACACAUUCGGAAUACAUCUGCUGCCAUAACAUCCCCCUAAUACUCCUCCACCUUACCCUGACUACAUCGUAGGGAAAACCCAAAUUUCUCCUAUAGGGACGCUCCUCAGCUCGCCGCGCUGCCCAAUACACGAAGGAAUGUCCCAGUAUCCAGACGCAGUGAGGCCGAGGACCUACGGAGAAAAUGUGUUAUAGUAAAUAUGGUCUGACAUAAGACCUGUAGCGAUUUGAAC